rnacentral:tRNA from 1 species
UGGGAUGUGGCGCAGUGGUAGCGCAUCGGUUUUUGGUACCGCAGGUCGUAGGUUCGAAUCCUACCAUCCCAG